CCCAGCUGCCGACAGCCGUGAGCUGGGGGGUGGGGGGGCGCAGGUCUUUGCCUUUCACCAGCUGUCACGCACACCGGCCUUUCAAUGCCUCUUUCAGCUUCCGUCUCUGCCCCGACGAAGGAGGAACACAAUUCCUUCUCACUCGUGCGGUUUCUGCAAGCAGAUAUCAAGACCAUAGCCUUGCAAUCAACAUUGGGGGAGGCCAAACCUACCAAGAGUGUCACACCCUCGUGUCUGGAGUACGUGCUGAAUUCAGAUGCGCAUAAUCUGGACGACACCCAUGAUCCAG